rnacentral:rRNA from 1 species
GACGAACGCUGGCGGCGUGCUUAACACAUGCAAGUCGAACGGAAAGGCCCUGCUUGCCGGGUACUCGAGUGGCGAACGGGUGAGUAACACGUGGGUGAUCUGCCCUGCACUUCGGGAUAAGCCUGGGAAACUGGGUCUAAUACCGGAUAGGAGCCAUUUUUAGUGUGAUGGUUGGAAAGUUUUUUCGGUGUAGGAUGAGCUCGCGGCCUAUCAGCUUGUUGGUGGGGUAAUGGCCUACCAAGGCGGCGACGGGUAGGCGGCCUGAGAGGGUGGACGGCCACAUUGGGACUGGGAUACGGCCCAGACGCCUACGGGAGGCAGCAGGGGGGAAUAUUGCACAAUGGGCGCAAGCCCGAUGCAGCGACGCCGCGUGGGGGAUGACGGCCUUCGGGUUGUAAACUCCUUUCGCUAGGGACGAAGCUUUUUGUGACGGUACCUAGAUAAGAAGCACCGGCUAACUACGUG